rnacentral:misc_RNA from 1 species
GAUGAAGAACGCAGCGAAAUGCGAUAAGUAAGGUGAAUUGCAGAAUUCAGUGAAUCAUCGAAUCUUUGAACGCACAUUGCGCCCCUUGGUAUUCCAUGGGGCAUGCCUGUUCGAGCGUCAUUUGUACCUUCAAGCUUUGCUUGGUGUUGGGUGUUUGUCUCGCCUUUGCGUGUAGACUCGCCUUAAAAUAAUUGGCAGCCGGCGUAUUGAUUUCGGAGCGCAGUACAUCUCGCGCUUUGCACUCAUAACGACAGCGUCCAAAAGUACAUUUUACACUCUUGACCUCGGAUCAGGUAGGGAUACCCGCUGAACUUAAGCAUAUCAAUAAGCGGAGGA